rnacentral:rRNA from 1 species
GUGCCAGCCGCCGUGGUAAUACCGGCAGCUCGAGUGAUGGCCAAUCUUAUUGGGCCUAAAGCGUCCGUAGCUGGCCGCGCAAGUCCGUCGGGAAAUCCAUCAGCCCAACGGGUGGGCGUCCGGUGGAAACUGCGUGGCUUGGGACCGGAAGGCGCGACGGGUACGUCCGGGGUAGGAGUGAAAUCCCGUAAUCCUGGACGGACCGCCGAUGGCGAAAGCACGUCGCGAAGACGGAUCCGACAGUGAGGGACGAAAGCUAGGGUCUCGAACCGGAUUAGAAACCCCUGUAGUCC